rnacentral:lncRNA from 1 species
GGAGUUUAUCUUCUUCUUGAAGUCCUCAUUUCAGAAGUCGGAGUACGAGAAUAUCACGGUAAUUCUGAGAUCACGAGAGAAAUCUAUCUAGAUUGAGAUUUGAAAGAUAGGGUAGGGAUAGAAAGUUAGAGAUCUAAAAGCUCAUGUAUUGCAUGCAUGUGAGGAUCGAGCUUGAAAAAUUCAAAAAAAAUUAUGCGAGCAUUAAAGAUCUAGCAAUUAAGCAGAAUCAAAGUAGAUCUAGGGGUAGUGCAAGUUGUGUUAUAAAGCACAAACUCAUAUUUAUACUUUGCAUUGCUAGAAAGAUGAGUGCUCAU